rnacentral:rRNA from 1 species
CAGCAGCCGCGGGAAUACAGAGGGUGCGAGCGUUAAUCGGAUUUACUGGGCGUAAAGCGUGCGUAGGCGGCUUCUUAAGUCGGAUGUGAAAUCCCUGAGCUUAACUUAGGAAUUGCAUUCGAUACUGGGAAGCUAGAGUAUGGGAGAGGAUGGUAGAAUUCCAGGUGUAGCGGUGAAAUGCGUAGAGAUCUGGAGGAAUACCGAUGGCGAAGGCAGCCAUCUGGCCUAAUACUGACGCUGAGGUACGAAAGCAUGGGGAGCAAACAGGAUUAGAUACACCAGUAGUCCCUGUCUCUUAUAU